rnacentral:lncRNA from 1 species
CAGGCUUCUGUAAUUCCAGCUAUUCAGGAGACUGAGGCAGAAGAAUCACUUGAUCCCAGGAAGCAGAGGUUGCAGGAAGCUGAGAUCACACCACUGCACUCCCGCCUGGGUGGCAGAGUGAGACUUCGUCUCCAAACAAACAACAGAAAAAGGUGUCCUGGACUCCAGCUGUGUUCAGCCUUCAUCAGAGCCAGAUAUAGUUGGAGGCAGUAACAUGGUGACACAUCAAAAUCAAGUCUCCAGAAGCUGAAUCUGAACAACACAAGGAACAAGGUAAGAUGCCAACAGAAGAGGGCCCAAAACAGAGUUCCUGUUUUCCAAAGGUUUUCAAUUAUAUCCUUGUCAGUCUCUGCAACUUCAUUUGCUGUCCCCAUUAGUUUUCUACUGGUUCUGUUUGCAAGGUCAUCAUUUCUUAACAUUAUUUAAAAGCCUUUAAAUAUGUAAUCUUUUAGCCUCUGGAGAUAACAAUCCUAUUUUGUGUUAUAAAGAGCAUUGCAUUUUGUUUUCCCAAUGACAUUUUCAGAUCCCUUAUCCCAUUAGGCCUUCAUGACCCUUUGCAGCAUAUAGGACAGAAAAUUUUGUUUCAGGUUCCAAAUGAGACUUGGAGAAGCUGAGUGACUUAUACGAGGCCACAGAGAUAAUAAGGGCCUCAGGUCUUCUUUGCAUCUGUAAACAAACCUUGUAUCCUCAGGACACUCAAGGGGAUUCUCAGGAAGCCUCUUAAACUGUUAAGUCCAGAAGAGCAUCCAUGUAAUCAUGGUUCCAUAGAUUGGUCUGGGUUUCUGUAUCUGGGACUGGAAAGGUCUGAGAAAUUCUGGCUAAAAUAUUGGUAACAUUGCAUUUGCUCUGCAUUUUCCUAACUGUGCCACAUGUAGGUAAUAAUUGCAUCUGGAAGCAUCCCCCAGAUGAAACUGCAGCAGCUUAGGGGAUGAUUUAUUGUCGUUGUCACAGUCCUGCCUGAUGGUCCCCAGAACUCCAGGAAGGGGUGGUUAGGCCACUAUAGCAAAAAUACUGGAGAACAGCAAGAGUCAGAAAUUUCCUUCACUGUUUUAGAUUUUCCCACUGCGUAAAAUACUACAGAAUUAUUUUAGCAUUCAGUAUCUUCAGUGAAGGAACGCUAUUCCAGAGUUGCUCUGAAUGUUAUAGGGGGAGCUAUGGUAAUUGAGCAUAUACAGGUAUCAAGAAUUCAGCUUGAUGCUUAAAAAACAUGAUUUUAUUUAAUAUUAGUAAAAUAAGGAAUUUAGUUUUGCCUUCAAUUUAUAAUAUGAAAAUUGAACCAAGGAUUUAGUAUAAGUCAAUCAAGUUUAAGAUUAGCAAGGACAAAAUUCUGUUG